rnacentral:rRNA from 1 species
AGAGUUCGAUCCUGGCUCAGGAUGAACGCUGGCGGCGCGCCUAACACAUGCAAGUCGAACGGCACCCCUCUCCGGAGGGAAGCGAGUGGCGAACGGCUGAGUAACACGUGGAGAACCUGCCCCCUCCCCCGGGAUAGCCGCCCGAAAGGACGGGUAAUACCGGAUACCCCGGGGUGCCGCAUGGCACCCCGGCUAAAGCCCCGACGGGAGGGGAUGGCUCCGCGGCCCAUCAGGUAGACGGCGGGGUGACGGCCCACCGUGCCGACAACGGGUAGCCGGGUUGAGAGACCGACCGGCCAGAUUGGGACUGAGACACGGCCCAGACUCCUACGGGAGGCAGCAGUGGGGAAUCUUGCGCAAUGGGGGGAACCCUGACGCAGCGACGCCGCGUGCGGGACGGAGGCCUUCGGGUCGUAAACCGCUUUCAGCAGGGAAGAGUCAAGACUGUACCUGCAGAAGAAGCCCCGGCUAACUACGUGCCAGCAGCCGCGGUAAUACGUAGGGGGCGAGCGUUAUCCGGAUUUACUGGGUGUAAAGGGAGCGUAGACGGCGCAGCAAGUCUGAUGUGAAAGGCAGGGGCUUAACCCCUGGACUGCAUUGGAAACUGCUGUGCUUGAGUGCCGGAGGGGUAAGCGGAAUUCCUAGUGUAGCGGUGAAAUGCGUAGAUAUUAGGAGGAACACCAGUGGCGAAGGCGGCUUACUGGACGGUAACUGACGUUGAGGCUCGAAAGCGUGGGGAGCAAACAGGAUUAGAUACCCUGGUAGUCCACGCCGUAAACGAU